GAUGAACGCUGGCGGCGUGCCUAAUACAUGCAAGUCGAGCGAACGGACGAGAAGCUUGCUUCUCUGAUGUUAGCGGCGGACGGGUGAGUAACACGUGGAUAACCUACCUAUAAGACUGGGAUAACUUCGGGAAACCGGAGCUAAUACCGGAUAAUAUUUUGAACCGCAUGGUUCAAAAGUGAAAGACGGUCUUGCUGUCACUUAUAGAUGGAUCCGCGCUGCAUUAGCUAGUUGGUAAGGUAACGGCUUACCAAGGCAACGAUGCAUAGCCGUCCUGAGAGGGUGAUCGGCCACACUGGAACUGAGACACGGUCCAGACUCCUACGGGAGGCAGCAGUAGGGAAUCUUCCGCAAUGGGCGAAAGCCUGACGGAGCAACGCCGCGUGAGUGAUGAAGGUCUUCGGAUCGUAAAACUCUGUUAUUAGGGAAGAACAUAUGUGUAAGUAACUGUGCACAUCUUGACGGUACCUAAGCAGAAAGCCACGGCUAACUACGG
rnacentral:rRNA from 1 species